AGUUAACGUUAAAUUUUUGAAGUUAUCUUAGCUUUUUUGUUGGGUGAAAUCAGUAUAAAGAGUUUCUCUUUCUUUUAAAAUUAAUAGGAAUUAAAAAACUUUGAUUUAAAACCAGGAUUAGAUACCCUGUUAUUCUAAGUUAUAUUUAGACAGGGUAGUAAAAGUUGUUCUUCAAACCCAAAGAUUUUGGCGGCACUUUAUCCAAAUAGAGGAGCUUGUCCCUUAAUCGAUAGUCCCCGUUUUAUCUUUCCUCUGUUUGUAGAGCUUGUAUACCGCCGUUGUCAGAUCACUUUUAGAGAAUGUUUUCAAGUUAAAAGACUUUUCUACUUCAGGUCAAGGUGCAGUUUAUAUAGAGGUGGAGGUGAGCUACAAUUUUCUUUAGAAAUACGGAUUUCAAGCCUCGAAGCUGGUUGAAGGUGGAUUUAUUAGUAAAGUAAUUUAAGUAAA
rnacentral:rRNA from 1 species